rnacentral:rRNA from 1 species
AUCCUACGGGGGGCAGCAGUCGAGAAUCAUUCACAAUGGGGGAAACCCUGAUGGUGCGACGCCGCGUGGGGGAAUGAAGGUUUUCGGAUUGUAAACUGCUUUAGACAGGGAAGAAAAAAGACAGUACCUGUAGAAUAAGCUACGGCUAACUCUGUGCCAGCAGCCGCGGUAAUACAGAGGUCUCAAGCGUUGUUCGGAAUCACUGGGCGUAAAGCGUGCGUAGGCUGUUUCGUAAGUCGUGUG